UAUACAUCAGGGUUUCCCAACUGGUGGCCCCAACUUGUUUUAUUUUAUUUAACUUUAUUAUUUACAAAAAUAAAUACAAAUAAAAUACUUUUUGUUUCAUAGUAGGACAUAAGAUUGUAAUAACACCAGGAAAUUGGGGGGGGGGGGAAUUUUAAUUUAAGAAAUCUGUUCCCAAGUAUUCCCAUGAAUAAUAGUGACACAUGAUUGUAUACAAAUGUAAGCAAGGUUUGAAAUGAUUGUUUUAUGCAAACAUUAUACUGUAUCUGUUUGGCCUUCUUGUAGUCAAUUUGCAGUCUACAAAUUAUUUGUAAUUGUGUUCCGGCCCCCUGACCAUCCACCCAAGAACAAAUCGGCCCGCGGCUCAAUCUAGUUGAUGAUCCCUGAUAUACACCCUGUACCAACCUAUGGUGUGCCAGCCAGACCUGGGUUUCAAAUACUUACAUCUAUUAAUUACUUUGCCUGUUUGAGCUUGCCUUGUUUAAUAAAUCGAUACUAAAGUCCCCAAACUGCAAACCCCGCUUAUGACACUCCAUGCCAGGUCUAGCUAAAAUCUCUAGCCCAAUGACCACUCAAACCUGCCCAAAAGGCCUGAAAACUAGGCCAUUUUUUUACACUGCAAGAGAGGAGUUUAUCCAAUAAACCCUUUAUCCAUAGCAUUGUCGAGCCAAUUAGGAAAGAAUAUCAACGAAACUUGUAAUGACUUCAGACCCAAUUUUUGGUUUAUAAUUUGAAACAAAAUCCCUUUUCUGCAUGUGUAUUUUGAAAGUAUUCAGACCCCUUUACUUUUUCACAUUUUGUUACGUUACAACCUUAUUCUAAAAUGGACUUAAAUCUGGGGGGGUUUCUUCUCAAUCUACAUACAUUACCCAAUCAUGACAAAGCAAAAACAGGUUUAGAUUUUUUUUUACAAAUGUAUUAAAAAUAACACUGAAAUAUAACAAUCACAUAAGUAUUCAGACACUUUACUCAGUAUUUUGUUGAAGCAUCUUUGGCAGAGAUUUCAGCCCCGAGUCUUCUUGGGUAUGACACUACAAGCUUGGCACACCUGUAUUUGGGGAGUUUCUCCCAUUCUUCUCUGCAGAUCCUAUCAAGCUCUGUCAGGUUGGAUGGGGAGCAUUGUUGCACAGCUAUUUUCAGACUUCGCUCAGGUUGGGCCACUCCAGGACAUUCAGAGACGUGAGUGUCCCUAAGACACUCCUACAUUGUCUUGGCUGUGUGCUUAGGGUUGUUGGCCUGUUGGAAGGUGAACCUUUGCCCCCAGUCUGUCCUGAGCAGGUUUUCAUCAAGGAUCUCUCUGUACUUUGCUCUGUUCAUCUUUCCCUCGAUCCUGACUAGUCUCUCAGUCCCUGCCGCUGAAAAACAUCCCCACAGCAUGAUACUGCCACAACGCUUCACCGUAGGGAUGGUGCCAGGUUUCCUCCAGAUGUGGUGCUUGGCAUUCAGGCCAAAGAGUUCAAUCUUGGUUUCAUCAGACCAGAGAAUCUCUUGUUUCUUAUGGUCUGAGUCUUUAGGUGCCUUUUGGCAAACUCCAAGCGGGCUGUCAUGUGCCUUUUUACUGAGGAGUGGCUUCCGUCUGGCCACUCUACCAUAAAGGCCUGAUUGGUAGAGUGCUACAGAGAUGGUUGUCCUUCUGGAAGGUUCUCCCAUCUCCACAGAGGAGCACUUUGUGUGACCAUCGGGUUCUUGUUUACCUCCCUGACCAAGGCCCUUCUCCCCUGAUUUUACAGUUUGGCCGGGAGGCCAGCUCUAGGUAGUCUGGUGGUUCCAAACCUCUUCCAUUUUAAGAAUGAUGGAGGUCACUGUGUUCUUAGGGACCUUCAAUGCUGCAGAAAUGUUUUGUUACCCUUCCCCAGAUCUGUGCCUCAACAAAACCCUUUCUCGGAGCUCUACGGACAAUUCCUUCGACCUCAUGGCUUGGUUUUUGCUCUGACAUGCACCGUCAACUGUGGGACCUUAUAUAAACAGGUGUGUGCCUUUCCAAAUCAUGUCCAAUCAAUUGAAUUUACCACAGGUGAACUCCAAUCAAGUUGUAGAAAUAUCUAAAAAUAUGAUCAAUGUAAACAAGAUGCUCAAUUGAGUCUCAUAGCAAAGGGUCUGAACACAUAUGUAAAUAAGAUAUCUGUUUUUUAUUUUUAAUACAUUUCUAAACUUGUUUUUGCUUUGUCCUUAUGGGGUAUUGUGUGUAGAUUGUUGAGAAAAAAAUAUAUUGAAUCUAUUUUAGAAUAAGGCUGUAACAUAACAAAAUGUGGAAAAAGUCAAGGGGUCUGAAUACUUACCGAAUGCACUGUAUAUAUAAAUCCGACAGGAGAGUUUGAGUGAAAGUUGGACAGAGGAUCUCAAUCUCUGCGCAAUAAAUAUUUGGUAGAACUUAAACGGAUGUUAGUGUAUUUUCUGGCAAUUGUGCCAGAUGUUAAGACUACACUGCAACAAGUCAGCUUGUUGCAGUGUAGACAAGAAAAACGAGCAGUAAAAUGGGGGAAAUAUUACUUAAAAUAAGCAAAAUGAUUUGCCAACAGAACAGGAAAAUUUCACUUGCCAGGAUAUUUAAAACAAGUAAAAAAUAUAUAGUCUCAAAGAACGCACAGAUAUCUUAAAACUAGUGCGGCCAGUCUAAAGACGAGAUAUAAUGAUUAUUUUCUCAAUAUGUAGGAAAAUGUGCUUAAAUUUAGCAUCCAAUUCUAUUGCAAUCGUCUUGAAAUAAGGUUAUAUACCCUGGAAUUUACAGAAAAAUUGCAUAUUGUGUUUAAAAUAAGUAAGCCUGACUAAGAUAAAUGUACUUGUACUACUAGAAAUGAGAUUGGCUUGCUUAAAGAAAGAAUGAAUCUCAUUUCUUUUCACUUUACUGCGGACUCAGUAUAUCCAGAGGCUGAUGUGGGCAGAACAAAGGAUACAAAAACAACAUGCCAUUGGUGGUCAAGGUGAAAAUGUAAGACCUAUGGCAAGAUAACAAACGUAACCGUGCUUUAAACCUUCUUAUAAUAAACAACAAACGCCCUGCCUAUUUAUUAAAGGUUCUCGGAUCGGCCGAUACAAAGUUCUGUUAUCGGGACAGGAAAUGAAAAAAUUGUAUCGUGCAACCCUAGUCAGUAAUGAACUUUUUCCACUCGGCCAUAGCCUUUUUUAUAUGAAGAAGUCAUGUCCCGGGUUGUGGAUGGCGUCCGAGAGGACUUCUGUCUGCAGCACAGAGAGGAGUGUCGCAAUGCACUUGGGAUAUGUGAUGUAAAGGUGUAAUAACACGCCAUGAGAUACGUCACGCUGGCAUAGAUGUUCUCUUUUGGGAAGGUCACCACAGACAUGGUUCCAAUGGCCAGUAUGCAGUUGGUUUCGCAGACAAUCACGACAGGGCUGAAGAGUGGUCUCGCCUGAAGAAAGGUGUUGGGGUCUUCUGCAGACUGACACACACACACACACAAAGAGAAACAAAAAUGACCUAAAACAAUUCACACUCUUUGUAUGUUAUGGUCAAGUAAUAUGAAAAUUCUAAUACAUGCACACAUUUCUUACCUCAAGGAUGUGAAGCAUAGCCUCACUUGCAUGUCCUAACUUCUUUGGAGCCACAGGUGAUGGGAACAUGUCUGGUAAAGCCUUCAUCAUGGCGAUUGAGUGCUUCACUGUUAAACUAAAAGUCUCAUUUGAUUUACUGCAGCCAGUUAUUGAAACAAACAUUAAUACUUUCAUGGGAACAUUAAUACUUUCAAGUUCCCUCGAGCGAGGAUCCGCCGGAGUUCAUCCAUAACCUGACACACACAGACAGACCGAGACAGAGUCUUAAACUAUCUAGCUGGAGGCGUAGGAAGCAUUAGCCUGGUUACUACCAGUCUGAAUUCUCGCGAGCUCACUGUUUUACAUUUGCCCGAAGUAGUUUACCUCCGUCCCUGCUAUGGCUUCUCACGCUGCUCAGUUCCCACACCGUAUCUCAUUUUAUAUUUGGUCUGGUGUUAACCAGGCUAAGGAAGCAUAGGCCUACUUAAAAUGAAUACAUUUGCUUACAUGAUCCAGUUCUCUGAAGCAGGGAUACGCUUGAAGUAUCUUGGUAGGUCUGUCCUGCUCCUUGGUAGCAUCAAAGUCGAUGAAGCCCCGUCUUGCUUGGAAUUCAAGGUCCAGGAGCUGGGAAACAUUCUUCUGGUUGGGUCUGGCCUUGGUUUUGUACAUCUCCUGUAGAGUUUUAUGUCUCGCCUGGUUCUGUAGGCUCUCAGUAGUUUCUCAUGCCAGAACGCAUAAUAAAUAAUUUGGCUGCCAGGUAUCCAAUAGGUCCCAGAGGAGGUGCCUGGUCUACACAGGUCUGAUUCUUGACCCUGUAUUAGACAUAGAUUUAUUUAAUGGUAAUUAUAAAGGCAAAGAACACCACACUAACAACAACCUAACAGCAAACACCAAAACGACUACAUCUUUAGAUACAUGUAUUGUGAUGGCCAGGAAAUGCUUCUUUGUUUUACAGGAAACACUGCCUGCAUGGUUAGAUUAAAUGUCUCCCAAAUGUCAAAAUCUAGCAUUUACUCAUGGUGAAAAUGAGACAGUCUCCAAAUGGUUCUCCUUCUGAGGAAGUGCCCCUCCCGGGAGAGAGAUCACGUAAAUGCUCAGAGAGGCAGGGCAGCAUGUAUAUUAGCAGCUGAAAAACACAUUUAACCGCAUGGUAAAUAGUUAAGUAAUUAGUUAAUUAGUAAAUAGUUAAGUAAUAAGUAAUUAAUUAUUGAUUUACCAAGCUAGCUACUGUUAGCUAACAAAAUUAGACUACCAGUAUAUCAUUAACGUUGACGUUAAUUACUUUAAACCAAAAGAUAGUGCAAGCUAAUGAAAAUAACUUUAACGCUAAAUUGUCGCCCAUAUUGAAAAUCUUAGUUACAUUAAUCUUUGCUUGCCUCACUAAGAUUGUAGACAAUGACUGACACGUCGAUAAUUUAGCUUCGCCGUCUUUGGCGCCCUUUCUAUUUAUUUUCUAUUGUCAACAGAAAGGGCGCCAAAGACGGCGACGCUAAAUAAUCGACGUGUCAGUCAUUAGGGCACAUUUACACUUUAACACUAUUUCUGGCAAUAAAGCACUAUCAAUCGAACCAAAGUUCAAGUGUUUUCAAUAAAUGGCCGUUCGUUCAGUUAACUUCUAACAGUCAACGUUACCUAGUUAAAAUUAGCACGCUAACUUGGUUUGCCAACUUUCCAAUUCAAAUUAACGUUGGCUUGCUAAGGAGAAAGGUAGACGGUAUAAACAUAUUGACAUUACCUUUUAACACUGCGGUUGAUAUUUGAUCCAUGCCCGGAUAUGUGUAAUCCAUUCCAUCUUCAUUCAUGGUGUUAGAUGACUCAAAGAUUUGGACCGUCUUUGACUUUUUAUUUAUAGGCCUCCCUUAUGUAGUUAGAUAAUGUGACCGAGUGCUGAAUAUCAGCAUGGCUGUGAUUCGGUCGUAGGUACGAGGCCGUAGGCCGAGUGCUGAAGAUAAUAAUCAGUGUAACAGCACAACCUCGAGUGUGAUGUUGCUUUUAUACAACAGUUCUACAAGCGCCAUUUAUUAGUUAACAGUAAUAAGCACUAAAAGAUUGAUUUGUUUAUUUGGCUCUGCUAACACACAGAGUUCCACAACUGGGCUGGACUGUUGCCAAGCACCACAAACAUUUUCCUGCACACUAGCUUGCUACUUUGUGUAGGUCUACACUUACCGUCCUCUCCUGAUGACCAUUCAUAAUUUAACUCAAAUGUUAGUGGAAAUAUGUUCAUCUUUGCGGUGCGAAGUUUGUUAACAAUCUAAGAUGGAUAACAAUCGUUAAUGUAAUUAACGGUUACUAGAACACCUGUAAAGCGGAGUGAUACAUGUAUAGUUAAAAGUCCAUGCUGUUACACUCUACUCCAAUCAAAUUACUUGGUCGUAUUAUAAAUACUUGUGAACAUCAUUUUCAGUUAUUUACGCUCUUUUCAUCGAAAGCAGUGGGACCGUUUUACAUGCGUUUGCUUUUAGUAACGUUCAAGAUGCUUUGGCGUUGCGUGAUCUUCUGCGUUUUUAUUACUUUUUCAUUGAAACUGUUAUUGAGCCAUAUCAAUAGAUUGCACAGUCGCAGCCCUGAUUUCUGGUUGCUCUGUGGUAUUGACGGAGGCACCGAGGAAUAUAGAGUGUACAAUUCCUUCUAUCAUCAUGUAAAGAGAAGACACCUUCAACACCUACUUGAAGGCACCCGACCAGGUGAACAGACAUCGGGGGAAAGCAAAGUACCACCGGAACAAGUAAGUAGCUAGCUAGGAUUUUUUUUCUUUUUGGAUUAAUAGUUUUUUUUUUUAAAUGAACUAUUCGAUCAUUUUAGCUAUAAUGGCUAAAGCUGGGUUAAUGUGAAAAUAAUCAAUGAUAAAUGGGAACAAAACACUUAAAGCUCUAUUGGUGAAACUAAAUACAAUUUCAAAUAAUAAUCUGUUUCUUUGAUAUGUGGUACACAGGACAACAUUCAUCCCGAUCAGCUUCUAGCUAACUCUAGCAUCACUGAUCAGGAACUCCAUACACCUGACUUGGAUGAAGGGCAAAGGGGCAUUGACCAACAUGGCGCUGUCACAGUGCAACAAGAUCUGACAAAACAUGCCACUGCUUUUGUGAUAAAUGCCAGAGCGAAGCAUCGUCUCUCACAGAAAGGCGUGAAUGACAUUGUUGCUGGGGUACAGCAGUAUCCAUGAUCACUAUUGGACAACCUCAGGAAGCAGAUGGAGGGAGUGCUAAAGAAGCAUUCAGGAAGCACAUUAGGUCAGCUUGAAAAAGAUGCAAUGGAUAUAUUUGACAAUUUCUUUGACCCCUUUGCUGACGUUGCAGCAACAUUUAGACAGGACAGUGUUUUUAAGAAGCAGUUCAGCUGUUUGGACGCAGAAGAAAUUCCAAUUGCUCGAACCAGAUGCAGGAUGAAAUGUAGAGGCUCAAAAUACUUUUUCAUCAAAGACAAAUUAUUUCAUUAUGUACCAUUAGUCAAAAGUCUAGAACAGUUCUUAUCACACCCAAGGAUUGUGUCUGGUUGAAAAGGGACCCCAGAUGUGCAGGGAAAGUCUUUUUCAUGACAUUGUUGGUGCUCUUCUAAAAUCACAUGCCUUUGGUUUCUCUGAAAAAAAGGGAUUGCAGAUGGUUCUGUACAUCACUAGGAUCCUUUGCCUCAAAAAACAAGUUAAUGGUGUACUACACCCUAGGAAAUAUAAAUCCAAAAUACAGGUCAAAAGUGGCUGAUAUCAGGCUACUUGCCAUGGCUAGAUCAGCAGACCUCCGUCAAUCUGGUGUGGAUGUAAUAUUGAAUAGAAUCAAGGAAGACAUGGAUGCAUUGUACAGUGGGGUUAAAAUGCAAACUUAACGGCGAGAGAACGAUUUAUGGUGCCAUGGCCUCUCUCUGGAGACACCCUGGCACAACAUGAACUAUCAGGGUUCAAAGAGGCUUUGCCUACAGUAAGUGCAGACACUGAGUGUUCUUUUAAGGACAUGCAGUCACACUUCAACGAGGAUGCAUAUUCUAAAAGGACAUUGGAGAAGCAUGUCAGACAGUGUGAUGAAAUAGAAAAGGCAAAGACGGACUUGCUUCGCAACAGCCUAAGAACAACCUAUGGGAUCAAUAGAAGGAGCAAGUUAGUUGAAUUCUCAGCCUUUGAUAUUAUACAACAAACUCCGCAAGACAUUAUGCAUGGAAUUCUGGAGGGCAUAGCCCCAUUGGAAAUCAAAUGUGCUUUGAAUCAUCUUGUUGUGUCAGGACAGAUUGAUCUGGACUCAAGUGAUUUCUGCUAUUCUUGGUUUCCCUUAUUCCCCUCUAGAUGUUAGAGAUCGGCCAUCCCCAAUUUCUGUUAGUACAUUAACGUCAAGUGGUGGUAAACUAAAACGGUCAUGCUUCCUGCUAAGGAUAUUGCCAUUUGUUUUGGAGAGUUUGGAAGCCAGCGUUCGAGGGCCCCUUGACUCUCAGGAUGAUACGGACUGGAGACCUGAUGGGAAAAUGCAGUGUCUUUAACACAUCUGAGAACAGUUUUGACAAAGUUGGUUCCCUGAUCAGUUUGGAUUGCUUUAGGGAGUCCAAACGUAGAGAAGAACUUCACUAGUGCCUUCACCACAGUCUUAGCCGUUAUAGUACUGAGGGAGAUAGCCUCUGGGUAUCGAGUAGCACUGCACAUUGUUAGUAAGUACUGGUUACCUGACCUGGCUUUCGGCAACGGACCUACAAAAUCGAUUAUCACUCGUUCAUACAGUUCCCCCACCACAGGAAUCGGGCAGAGUGGCGCACGAGGAACUGUUUGAUUCGCUUUCCCAGUGAGUUGACAUGUUUUACAAAAUUAGACCACGUCAGACUUCAAACCUGGCCAGAAAAAAUGUCGAUGGACUCUGUUAUAAGUCUUCGUGAUCCCCAAAUGUCCGUACCAGGUCUGGUCAUGGGCGAGUGACAGCACCUGCUGUCGGAACAGUGUAGGAACAACCACUUGACACACUUCACUCCAGUCACUAACUGUUAUGAGCUGCCCAUUUACGCAUCAAAAAUACUGCUUCCAUGAAGUCUGCGGUCUCCCUAGUUUUAGCCUCCUCAGUGGAAAUAACCGAAGCAAAACACUUGAAGAUUGUCUCCCUUUUGACAUUCAAUCACCACCUUGGGGGUAACGAACAGAAUGUCAUGUAAUUGGUGCACGAUUUCACUUUCCCCUGCCUUAGUUUUUACGGGGGUAAAAACUGUCUGCAUUGCAGAAGGAAUACUCGGGGCAUUGUCUUCUACCUCAACAUUCUCAAAAAUGGAACUUGACAAAUCCACCACAUCUCCCAGCUUGCGAGAUUGUGCCCUCGUUAACACACGCAGGAAAAACAUGGGGUUUUUCAGCGAUAUUGUUCCCUAGUAGCAAUGUGACUCCUUUUACUGGCAGUGUAGAUGCUACACCAACAUGGAAACAUCCUGAUACCAAGUCUCACACUAAGUGGACCCAGUGUAAUGGUACAGGUACGUUUUUUGUUUCUAUACCCUGUAAUAUGACAUGCGAGCCACAAUACGUUUCAGGAGACCAGGGUAAAGCAUCAGUAACGAUUAAGGACUGCGCCACCCCGGUGUCUCGUAAGAUUUGUAUGGGCUUUUGAUCAGCUUGUUCUCCAGUUAAGAUAUGUCCCGGGUUCAAAUCCCAGAUGAGCCCCCAUAAUGUUACGCACGCCUCUUGGAGGAGGGAAUGCAACACCCUGCUACACUUAACUCCCCGUGGAGUGAAAGAGGUAUGGGGUUGCAGGUGCGGGUAAGGAUGGCAGAGAACUUUACUGUUAACAGGGAAUGUAUUUCCUUCACGUGGUAAUUUGGGGGAAAGGGGCUGGACGGAACUAAAGCAAAGAAAGUAAAUGUUAGUCCUCUCUCCUACCUUACCUGCCUACUCACUACUUACCUAACCUUAACGCCACCUGGCACGCUAACCAAAAUACAGGGGGUGGUCCGUCCAGGUCUUACCUAGUGUGCAUAGACAGAGUACACACUACGGGUAUAUGUAUGCCCACAGGCCUCUUGCCUAAGCACGCCCAAGGUGCCUUCCCCUUCCCCCCUGGGAACAAAUGAAAUAAUUACUAACUUUAAAGUGAACAAUUUCAAUAAUCACAAACGCAGUCCUUUUGGCAUACACAUACCUCAGCAGGACCGGCUACAUAAUCCUUUACAGACAGAAACCGGGGAACAUAACAUAUACACAAUUGAGCUAAUAGAGAUUGCACAGAUAGUAUUUGCACCUGUUCUUUCCAUUGCGACUGUGUCUAGGUUGAAGUUACUCAUUGAAAAUCAUUUGAAGCAUUGGAAGGUGCUUUUUCCAGACUGCAAUGUUACACCUAAACAGCAUUAUAUGAUCCAUUUGCCAUCACAGAUAAAGUCAUUGGGUCCAUUGGUGUAAUGGGUCCACAUGUGUAUGCAGUUCGAAUCUAAACAUUGUUUCUUUCAACAAUGCGCUUCCAAGCUCAAUUGAAAAAAAUAUUUUCAAGUGUUUGAUCAAUCAGAACCAAAUAUAUGAAGCUGCCAAAAUGUUGACAGUUCAAUGCACCCAAUUUUUUUCAAAUGAAAGGGAGAUGGGACCUGUAUCAAUGGUUGAAGGUCUACAAUAUUUAUGUAGAACAUUGAGGGACUUCCUAGGUUUCAAUGACGUAAACCAUGCUGUAUCAGUCAAAUGGCUUGUAAGAAAUACAUAACUCAGAAGUCCAUGAUCUUUGCAAAAGUUCUGAAUGCCAGAAUUUGGACUGGUCAAAAACAUAUUUCUUGUUGAUUCGAGGCUUUAUUGUUUGAAAUAUUAACCAUUUCAAAUGAAAUGCUUUGAUAGAAACAUCAUGGCUUGUCAAGUUGAGGUCCCACACCUUGGACAGGCCACUGAGUUAGCGGAUGCUGAAAAGCUGGUUGAUUUUACCUCAUAUUACACAAUUAGCAACAAGAGCCAAACUUAUGUACAAGUCAAAUACCAUCUUGGGGAUGUAAUAGAAUUGUACAACAGUUCAAAUGGCUCAGUGUGUUCCCCAGAUAUGAAAAGUGUACUGUCUUUGUUCUGUACUGUAUUUUGUCUACAUGAUUGCUGUGUGUAAGAUUGACAAUAAAACAGUGAAUUCCA